rnacentral:rRNA from 1 species
AUUGAACGCUGGCGGCAUGCCUUACACAUGCAAGUCGAACGGCAGCACGGGGCAACCUGGUGGCGAGUGGCGAACGGGUGAGUAAUGCAUCGGAACGUACCUUUCAGUGGGGGAUAACGUAGCGAAAAUUACGCUAAUACCGCAUAUUCUGUGAGCAGGAAAGCAGGGGAUCGCAAGACCUUGCGCUGAUUGAGCGGCCGAUGUCAGAUUAGCUAGUUGGUGCGGUAAAGGCUCACCAAGGCGACGAUCUGUAGCGGGUCUGAGAGGAUGAUCCGCCACACUGGAACUGAGACACGGUCCAGACUCCUACGGGAGGCAGCAGUGGGGAAUUUUGGACAAUGGGGGCAACCCUGAUCCAGCCAUGCCGCGUGAGUGAAGAAGGCCUUCGGGUUGUAAAGCUCUUUCGGCCGGGAAGAAAUCGCACGGGCUAAUACCCUGUGUGGAUGACGGUACCGGAAUAAGAAGCACCGGCUAACUACGUGCCAGCCGCCGCAGUAACAC